ACCCUAGAGAUAGGGCGUUCCCCUUCGGGGGACAGAGUGACAGGUGGUGCAUGGUUGUCGUCAGCUCGUGUCGUGAGAUGUUGGGUUAAGUCCCGCAACGAGCGCAACCCUUGAUCUUAGUUGCCAGCAUUCAGUUGGGCACUCUAAGGUGACUGCCGGUGACCAAACCGGAGGAAGGUGGGGAUGACGUCAAAUCAUCAUGCCCCUUAUGACCUGGGCUACACACGUGCUACAAUGGAUGGAACAAAGGGUCGCGAAGCCGCGAGGUGAAGCCAAUCCCAUAAAUCCAUUCUCAGUUCGGAUUGCAGGCUGCA
rnacentral:rRNA from 1 species